rnacentral:ncRNA from 1 species
UAUGACGGCCGCGACUGGCGUUCAGGUGGGUCACCACCAGGGAGCGGCUCUUCGGGUUCUCGAGCCGUUCGCCUGGGCUCGCCGG